AUGGUGCCCCUCGUACUUCUCCUUGAGCCCUCUCAGUAUGCUGACGGUGUCGGGGACGCUGGGCUCUGCCACGAACACCUGCUGGAACCGCCUCUCGAACGCCGCGUCCUUCUCCACGUACUUCCUGUACUCCUCGAGGGUCGUCGCGCCAAUGCACCUGAGCUGCCCCCUCGCCAGCAUCGGCUUGAACAGGUUGGCCGCGUCCAUGGACCCCUCCGUCCGCCCGGCGCCGAGCACCAGGUGUAUCUCGUCGAUGAACAGUAUCACCUUCCCCUCGGCCUCCUCCACCUCCUUGAGCACGGCCUUGAGCCGCUCCUCGAACUCGCCGCGGUACUUGGCGCCGGCCACGAGCGCGCCCAUGUCCAGCGCGACCAGGCGCACGUCCAGGAGGUUGCUGGGGACGUCGCCGCGCACGACGCGCUGCGCGAGCCCCUCCACCACGGCGGUCUUGCCCACGCCGGGCUCGCCGAUCAGGACGGGGUUGUUCUUGGUGCGCCGCGACAGGAUCCGCACCACGCGCCGGAUCUCCUCGUCGCGGCCGAUGACCGGGUCCAGCUUGCCCGCCACCUCCACGAGGUCGCGGCCGUACGUCUUGAGGGCCUGGAAGUUGGUGUCCCCCGACGCGGACUCCACGCGCCGGUUGUCGCCUCCCCGGAGCUUCUCGACCUCUGCCUUCACCCGCGCGGCGGAGAUGCCGGCCUCCUUGAGCGCGUCGGAGAUCUGUGGGUCCUCGAGGAGGCCCAUGAGCAGCUGGUCGACGGCGAGGUGCGAGUCGCCGCGCGACUUCUGCGCCGACUGCGCGCGGCGGACGGCCUUGACCAGCGAAGUGGAGGCCGGGACGGUGUCGGGCGGCGGGGACUGCGAAGGCAGCCGCUUGAGCGCUGCGGUCGCGACGCGCUCGAACGACUCGGCCGCGGCGUCGUUGCCGCCGGACGCGUGGGCGAUGGCCUGGCGGAGGAUGCCCGACCUGUCCGCCGCGAGCGCCGCGGCGAGGUGCAGCGGCGUGAGCUGCGCAUGGCCGGCCUCGGACGCCAUCUCGUGCGCCGCCGCGAGCGCCUCAUUGGUCUUGUGCGUGAACUUGUCGGGAUUCAUGGCUUCGCUUCUGCGAACUACGGAUUAACUGCAACGGAACUGGCAAUGGUGAUUUGGGGGGAUUCGUUGGUUCGAUGA
rnacentral:rRNA from 1 species